GGGUUCAUAGCUCAGCCUGGUUAGAGCGCUGGUCUUAUAAGCCAGAUGUCAGGGGUUCAAAUCCCCUUGGACCCA
rnacentral:tRNA from 1 species